CAUUAAGAAGCUUAUUCUAAAGCGUUAACCUUUUAAGUUAAAGAUUGGAAGUACCAACCUCCCCUUAAUGA